rnacentral:misc_RNA from 1 species
AACGCAAAUUGCACUCUCUGGUAUUCCGGAGAGUAUGCCUGUUUGAGGGUCAGUUUAAAUAAAAUCGGUGUGUUGUUUUGACAACGCUUCGGAAUUGAGUUUUUUUAACUCUUUUUUUAGGUUAAAUGACUUCAAAAUUAAUAUUUAUUUGUGCAUUUUAGACGUACGAUAAGAAUUCGUCUUUAAUGACAGAUUUUUAUUGGGUGUGAUCAUGCAGUUGUGGCUCGUACCCAUAAGUUAUCAUCUUUUGACCUCAAAUCAGGUAGGAACACCCGCCGAACUUAA